CAGAAAUUCAUUCAGCAUGUUGCUGUGUGCUUGGUCGCUGCUCGUCAUCACUGUGGCAGGCGCCAGCGGUGACCAGCUCGAGGCAGUCACGGGCGAAGUGUUGGCGUCAGAAGGCAAACAGGUGACACUGUCGUACGUUUACGCCACAGGGCUGACUGGUGCUGAUUAUUUCUUCUGGUACCAACAACUUCCUGGACAAGCGCCACACUUCCUGCUUUCACACUUGGGAACCGGCACCCCGUUAAGCGCCAAGCCAGGAAUGUCGGCGAGCGUGGGAAGUGACAGGAGACGAGUGCACCUGCACAUCGAGGAUGUGACAAUUGAGCACUCUGCGGUGUACUACAGUGCCGUGAUGCCGCACAGAAACGGUGAGCAAACGGUGCACCAGCCGGCGGGCACUCAGUAA